GGUUUCUCAGUGUUGGGGUGCAAAGCAUAGGAUUGGCAGCUAAGGAAACAAUUAAUGGGACCAAUGAAUUCACUAACUGGAUCACGAUGGUUCUCUUUGAUGAGUCUCGUUGUUUGUGUUUGUACUCAGAUGAAUUACUUGAACAAGGCCUUAGACAUCUUCAAUACAUCCAUUGUCACUCCCAUCUACUACGUUUUUCUUCACUGCCUGUGUAAUCAUCUCGUCAGCUGUCCUCUUCAAGGAAUGGAAAGGACUCCCUGCAAAGAUGUGAUAGGAGUCAUCUCAGGCUUCCUUACAGUUGUUAUCGGAAUCAUUCAUUCUUCAUGCUUUCAAGUAUGUUUGGUCUUCGGUUCUUUUGUGUCUAAAUAACUUUAACUGUUCUGUUCACUUUGUUAGGUUGGCACAGCCGAGUAUUCUUUUUAUCCACAAAACCGAGUUCCCUCUCUGAAU